AAGACAAAAUGCAUCUUUGAAGGCCGUCGAGGCCCUUUCACUUCAUAAGCCACUACUCAUUGAACAUUUAAGGGUCUCUGGAACAGACGUGUCUGUGAAGCACUUGCAAAAUGCUUCCACUCAACUUUGAAAACUUCAAAUUAAGUGCUUUAAUUCAAUGGCCAUUGGGGACAACUUGGACCUGUAUGGGCUUUGCCUUGAGUGAACCGUGCUCUGUUUGGCUUCGGAACUGUACAGACGGUCAUCAUUGAGGAAGACAUAUGUAUCAGCAUCUGGGCCUAGACCAUCGGCCAUAUCUUGCCAGAAAUCUCCCCUCAAGAUGAGCCACCCUGCCUGUGAUCGCGCACAGGUUUGAGAUUUCCCUUUGGUCCUUACCUCUUAUCAAGGACAUGAAAUGAUGGCCAAAUAAGUUCUGUGUGGGUAAGUACUACUCUCUCGUGUCGAAUGAUUGAGCUCAUCUUCUCAGACUCUAAGUUCCACCACCAGAGAAAAAUUGGGAUUUAGUAACUGGUCGUUUGAGAUUGUUCAAGGAAAUUGCUCAGCUCUAAGAGCCAAACGCAGUCUUACACAUUACUACAAAAAGGUAUGUGUAUCAAAAGACAAAAUGCAUCUUUGAAGGCCGUCGAGGCCCUUUCACUUCAUAAGCCACUACUCAUUGAACAUUUAAGGGUCUCUGGAACAGACGUGUCUGUGAAGCACUUGCAAAAUGCUUCCACUCAACUUUGAAAACUUCAAAUUAAGUGCUUUAAUUCAAUGGCCAUUGGGGACAACUUGGACCUGUAUGGGCUUUGCCUUGAGUGAACCGUGCUCUGUUUGGCUUCGGAACUGUACAGACGGUCAUCAUUGAGGAAGACAUAUGUAUCAGCAUCUGGGCCUAGACCAUCGGCCAUAUCUUGCCAGAAAUCUCCCCUCAAGGUAAUAAGACAUGCAGAUUCGUAAUAAACUACUUAUUUGCUCACGCUUCAUGAGGACAGAUAUAAAUACAUGAAGGCAUCUUUGGAAUAAAAGGAAGGAUCAUUAUCCACAAAUGGACCAAAGACAAGUAAUGCCAACUUUGUGUCCCAUACAAUCAAAUCAAACCAGUCAAUUUGGUAUCUGAAUUCUAUACAAUGACUUGAUUUUGCAAAACUCAACCUAACAUUAUAUUUCAUGCACUUGAUAAACUACACACUGGCCUGGAUUGAAAUAGGAGAAUAUCAUUAUCUACGCACAAUAAGCAAGCAUUUGGAACAAAUGAAUCAUGUCUAUUCUCUGUGUAGCCUAGGGAUCUUUUCAAAUUUGAUUAAAGUGGUCAGGUCAGCUGGUUCCUUUCACACUCAUGUUUAUGGUCAGCAGACAUAAGAAUGGGGAAGCUUGUGCUUUCCCUGUCACUCCUCCUGGUUCAAAGCCCGGAUUCCAAGUUGAGGAUUCUUUGUGGUAUUUAAUUGAAACGUGCUUGUUCAAUGUGGCAAUUUAGAUGAGCCACCCUGCCUGUGAUCGCGCACAGGUUUGAGAUUUCCCUUUGGUCCUUACCUCUUAUCAAGGACAUGAAAUGAUGGCCAAUAAAGUUCUGUGUGGGUAAGUACUACUCUCUCGUGUCGAAUGAUUGAGCUCAUCUUCUCAGACUCUAAGUUCCACCACCAGAGAAAAAUUGGGAUUUAGUAACUGGUCGUUUGAGAUUGUUCAAGGAAAUUGCUCAGCUCUAAGAGCCAAACGCAGUCUUACACAUUACUACAAAAAGGUAUGUGUAUCAAAAGACAAAAUGCAUCUUUGAAGGCCGUCGAGGCCCUUUCACUUCAUAAGCCACUACUCAUUGAACAUUUAAGGGUCUCUGGAACAGACGUGUCUGUGAAGCACUUGCAAAAUGCUUCCACUCAACUUUGAAAACUUCAAAUUAAGUGCUUUAAUUCAAUGGCCAUUGGGGACAACUUGGACCUGUAUGGGCUUUGCCUUGAGUGAACCGUGCUCUGUUUGGCUUCGGAACUGUACAGACGGUCAUCAUUGAGGAAGACAUAUGUAUCAGCAUCUGGGCCUAGACCAUCGGCCAUAUCUUGCCAGAAAUCUCCCCUCAAGACAUAAGAAUGGGGAAGCUUGUGCUUUCCCUGUCACUCCUCCUGGUUCAAAGCCCGGAUUCCAAGUUGAGGAUUCUUUGUGGUAUUUAAUUGAAACGUGCUUGUUCAAUGUGGCAAUUUAGAUGAGCCACCCUGCCUGUGAUCGCGCACAGGUUUGAGAUUUCCCUU